ACAUUGGUGGUUCAGUGGUAGAAUUCUUGCCUGCCACGCGGGAGACCUGGGUCCGAUUCCCGGCCAAUGCA
rfam:Danio rerio chromosome 4, GRCz11 reference primary assembly.